ACCAACCCUUACGGACGGAGCCGUCGAAGGUGGGGCUCGUGUAUUGGGUCGG
rnacentral:rRNA from 1 species